rnacentral:piRNA from 1 species
UUGAACUCAUAUAUCUACCGCUUCUGCCU